rnacentral:rRNA from 1 species
UUACAAGGCUUGACAUACACCGGUACGCCCAGAGAUGGUGCCCCUUUGUGGUCGGUGUACAGGUGGUGCAUGGUUGUCGUCAGCUCGUGUCGUGAGAUGUUGGGUUAAGUCCCGCAACGAGCGCAACCCUCGUCCUAUGUUGCCAGCGGGUCAUGCCGGGGACUCAUGGGAGACUGCCGGGGUCAACUCGGAGGAAGGUGGGAUGACGUCAAAUCAUCAUGCCCCUUAUGUCUUGGGCUUCACGCAUGCUACAAUGGCCGGUACAAAGGGCUGCGAUACCGCGAGGUGGAGCGAAUCCCAGAAAGCCGGUCUCAGUUCGGAUUGGGGUCUGCAACUCGACCCCAUGAAGUCGGAGUCGCUAGUAAUCGCAGAUCAGCAACGCUGCGGUGAAUACGUUCCCGGGCCUU